AUCAUUUUCUCAUUAUUUUAUAGAAUUGGUGUAAAAGCCCUAUUCCUUCAGGUCUCUGCAUCAAGGUUUAUUGCUGGAAAUAACAGGUACACUUUCUUGUUUCUCUGUCUUUUAUAUAAAAGCUUGUGACAGUCAUACUCAGCGCAGCAUUGUACUUUGGCUGCAAUAUAAUAAUUUUACAGUAUUGAAAGUAACAUUGUAAAUUCCUUUGCACUGCACAAAGCUCUUCUCAGUUAUUUAAUAUGAGAUUUUUUCCAUCUGUCUUUCAUGACAACUUUUGAAGAUACUGAUGUAAUUUAUUACUUUUUACAAUGAACUAAGUAUAACAAGAG
rnacentral:lncRNA from 1 species